ensembl:lncRNA
UCGUUGCCUCGUUAGCGCAGCCGGCCUCGUUAGGGACGGCCCGGGGCUCUGACAGUUUGACGUGCGGACUCCGGAUCUGAAUUAGGGACUUAAAUUACACUUUAAAGUACAGUUUGUUACGCGCUUCUCCUUCUCGCCGCACUGUGGGAUUCAUCGAUAAGUUAAGUAAUUGUGCCAAUUCAAACGGGUCGCUUUGCAUCCGACGCGACCGGCGCGAUAGAGCGUCUCCCCUCCGAAGAACGUCCCCGGCCUUAACGGUUUCCAGGGGCCCCCGCUGGGUGCGUCUCCGCUCUGCUUUCCAUCGCCCCAAUUCCGAACAAAAGAAAAAGGGGAAAAAAAAUAUUUAUUUAUUUAUUUAUUUAUUAAGAAAAAUAAGUCUUUUUAAGAUAAUAAGAAAAAUAAGGAACAAACGUGCAGACCUUCACUGCUCAGGGGGGGCUACAAACCAAAGUAAAACUAGGGGCCGGCAAAAACAUGGUACUCCACAGUCUUAAUUUAAUAAAACACAGUGGAACCCCCUGAAAUAGCGUGAAAUUCAGAAGCCUGUGGUCGGGCUGAAGCGUCGUGUGCUGGCCGGCAGAUGUUUGGAAAGGUGCUAAGAUGUAACUCUUAUUGUCCAUAGAAUUUGCUGUUAACCACUUGCAAGAUACAAAGUGACGGCCAGCUGGAUGAAUAGGAGAAUGUAUGUGAACACCCGGAACUGACAGACCCGGCACGGUGCAUGUGGCUUGAAGUGGGCACUGAGAGAAAGCUCAGACAAUGUAUAUACAUGCUAUUAACAUUCACAUUAAUUUCCACUGGGACACGACUUAAUUAAGUUCAGGAACGCAUGCAAGUGUACUGUUCUUAUUAGAGGCACGGUCUGGAGAAGAUGGCCGGGGAGCUGAGCAUCAUUUCUACAUCAGCUGCUGAAGCGCCCACUAACUUUGGAUGUCGCCUAAACCUUCAGAUGGAAUCCUUGCAGGCAUUCCCGUGGGGAUCGGGAAAUUGCAGUAUGCCGGAACUACCGUUGCUGAUGUGGGGCGAGCGCUCUGAAGUGCACUUGGAGAAGAACGCAUUCCAACCCCGCAUAUAUGAAAAGUUUAAUAUUUUAGACAGCUAGAUGAAAUGCUGGGGUCUUGGUGCAUUUUGCUUUGGCGGUCCAGGCUUUUCAGCAUCUUAGGGAAAUGUUUGGAAAUGAAUUUUAUUUUCACAACUGUGGUACAAUUACAAGGCGGGGAUGUUUCACCCUUCUCACCGAGGUGCCCUUGGUGGUGGUGGUCUGUAAAUGGCUAUAGAACUGACAGAGAAGUCUGCAAGCAUUUUCUUCGGUUCUGAUUUUUAUUCUUAUUUGUUUUAACAGAGAGAUAAAAACCAGCAUUGUGCAUGUCCUUGCUCUGCGGGUUGGGGAUGUAUCGUUGUUGUUGUCGUUGUUUUCCUGGGAAGUAAAACAGGGUAUGAUAUUGGUAAUAAGGGCAAGUGGAUUUAUUGCUGAGCGAGUUGUACGCUGUUUGACAGAAAAUUCCUGAACUGAUCGGUGUUGGUGGAAGUUGGGGCUGCCUCCCGAUGUUUCCUGAGCCUUCUAUUUAGUUUGGAGUUCUGGGAAGUAUUUGUGGGCUUAAUCCAUUUACGCUUUUGAUAGGUAAAUGCAAGCCAUGAGUUACGGUAAAUUAUUGCUAAGAAAAGAUGAAUGGAAGAAUGGAUGUUUCAUUUUACUAUAUAUGCUGGGAAAGGUUGUUCUUUCUUUCAGCGUAUAACUCUGCUUUUCCUCGUACAACCUAUUUACAGGGUCAGACUUCUUAAUUUAUUUAUUUUUUUGUUUCUGUAUUUACUGUAAUUAAAGCCAAAGCAGACAACACUUCUUCAGUCUUCUGCAUUUACUGAGUGCCUUUAGCAAACACGCUGCAAGGCAUAGCCGUUAGAUGAGCAUUUCCAACCAUGGUGUGUAAAUGAGUUAUAAAAUACAAGCAACUCUAUAAAACAAGAAAAUCCUGAGUUAACAAAUAAAUGGUGUCCUUCCUAUAUCACGUAUAAGCUUUUUUCAUCCUUCUCGUAGGGUGGUAUGGUAUCUCGGAGCUCAAAAGGGAUUUUCGCUGUAGGGUCAGAGAUGGAAGGUGUCACAGUGAAGAACUCCUUCAAAU